rnacentral:rRNA from 1 species
ACGGAAGGCAGCAGUGGGGAAUAUUGGACAAUGGGGGAAACCCUGAUCCAGCGACGCCGCGUGAGUGAAGAAGUAUUUCGGUAUGUAAAGCUCUAUCAGCAGGGAAGAUAAUGACGGUACCUGACUAAGAAGCCCCGGCUAACUACGUGCCAGCAGCCGCGGUAAUACGUAGGGGGCAAGCGUUAUCCGGAUUUACUGGGUGUAAAGGGAGCGUAGACGGCAUGGCAAGUCUGAUGUGAAAACCCGGGGCUCAACCCCGGGACUGCAUUGGAAACUGUCAGGCUAGAGUGCAGGAGAGGUAAGUGGAAUUCCUAGUGUAGCGGUGAAAUACGUAGAUAUUAGGAGGAACACCAGUGGCGAAGGCGGCUUACUGGACUGUAACUGACGUUGAGGCUCGAAAGCGUGGGGAGCAAACAGGAUUAGAUACCCUGGUA